GAGCGUGCAGAAAUUGGAGACGGAAAGUCGCCCGGCUGCGGCCACGUACCGCGAUGCAGUCUCAUCGCACGAUCAACCUGAUUCUGCUAUUCCUCGGAAUGCUAGCGACCAGCCGUGGGCAAACAGCAGGUUUGCAAACAGAUGGGGCCCGGAUUGGAAAACCUGUACUUCAGGACGAGCUGCAAGUAACCGAAGGCGGACCAGAACUUCGUGGGCCACGAUACCAGAGAAGGACCCUGAUUGAUGACCGCAGAAUUCCUUUGCGCCAGUUACAAAUUCGGUCACAGCUCAUCAGAACAGCACUUUUUGAAAAACAGCUGCCUUACAAUCUUAUCGCUAAUCGCGAAGACGACGGAAAUUUCGGCAUUGGAAACCGCUCAAGGAUGCUAUCAAGGAGCGCGCACAUUAGUGACAACUUUAAAAACGCUCGAGGCAUAGCUUUGGGUUCUAGCUGGCAGCCCGUUGGACAUGACCCUCUUCAAACAGAGAUAAGAGCUCGAGUGCGAAGAGAAACACAAAAUACAACUCUACGGCGGCAAAAGCGUUACAUUUGGCCAUUUUUGGCGCUCAGCUGGCUGUAUUUGCCAUAUUUAUACUCAGGACUGUAUGGCUACUCUGCGUUAUAUUCACCAUUUUAUUACAGUUACCCUUACUACACAUACAACUAUGGGUACGGGUAUUAUCCGUACAGGUGGGUCAUUAAUCCAGUCUAUGUGAAUCCUGUCCAACCAACGGGCGCGGCUACGACACCCGCCGCGGCUAGCUGACGGCGUCAUUCCGUUGGUCGUUUUAAUGUCCCAGAAUCGCAAUAAAAAUACGUCUUGAAGAAUGUUAA
rnacentral:lncRNA from 1 species